CGGAGAUCCUUCGCUCUUGGCUCACCGUGACGUCCGAACACAGCAGUGACAGCGCCGCCUAGCGACUCCGAAGCAGUUGUCGUGUUUUGACGAUCCAGAAGCCGCCGCUGUGGCAUCGCCCGCACGCAACAUCUGCAUCCCCCCCCCCUGCUGCCGCUGCCGCAGCCGCAUCAUGGGAAGCAGUAACGAGGUUUUGUUCCCCUUCCCACAAAUCACACCAUAUUAUUGCAACAAUUUGCUACUGGGGUUAAUGAUGUCGCGCGUGUUCUUGAGAGAAUGAUACAAGAAGAAGCAGAUUGCCAAGCAAACGCAAGAUAAGAUUUUUAUAAGUUCUAUUUCUCUAAAGAAAAUUCUCAUAAAUCUUAAAAGUCAAUAGUACUCGAUCUGAAUUAUUCAUGCUUUGAGCCUUUGCUGGUUGGAAUUUAAAUGUUUAUAACAUUAAUGGAGGACGAUGAAUGCUGGAGUAUCUUUAGUGUCCAUAAGGGCAGCAUAGACACUUAUAGGAGAUCACUUUAGAUUUAUCAUGGUUUAUAAGGUAUACAAGUGUUCACAUAAUGGAAUUGGCAAUUUAAUCCUUAAAGGAGAUCACUUUAGGUUUCUUGAAUUAACACAGAAUUUAUUAGGAUUUUAGUCUGUAGUAGAAAUACAACAUAUCAGAGACAGUGAAGACUAAUAUCUAAUAUCCUGAUCAAAAGAAUGAGGAGAAAACAUAUAUGAUUAAUCCAUUUUGUGCUAAAGAAUGGCCAGAUGAUGUCAAAAUGAAGAAGCACUAAAAAACCUUUGAUAAUUCUGAUUGAUUACUCCAACUUGACUGGCUGUGCUCAGGACUGAAAACUUGGGUACCGAAUGCUAUCCGCUGAAAUAGCCGGAUAUCGCCAGACUCUAGGGCAUUGAAGAUUUUGCUUUGGCCAGGUUUGACACCAUUGUUUAGAUCAACCUCAGCUAAGGCAUUGAGAACUUGUACAACCUGAAUCAAAUUAUGUUUAUGCCAACAUUCAAUGUGAUAACUACAUGAUGAUUUCAGCUUGCAGUAAAGUGAUGAAUCAUUCAGUAUACCUUUCCCAUUGAAGGCCUCAUAGUUGCUGAAUGCCGAAUGCAAGCUACUGCUGCUUCAAUCAAACGAAACAUUUCGUUUCCAUUAUAGUCAUUUCCGAGCCAUGGGUCGGGUAUUUGUCCAAACUCCCUAGUUUCAAGUGCAUCGAUUAACCGUGGUCGUGCCUACAAAAUUGGAUAUAAACUGAUUUAUGUUUACUGGCACAAAGAAGAUAAAGUCAAAAGUCAGGUGGCUUAUGAAUUGGAGAAUUAGGAAGUUCAGCUUGUUCAAUUUAAUCAUGUUUCAGUGGAUAAACCUUUAUGAAGACAGCUAAAUCCAUAAGGCUCUGAACUCUAGCUAGCAUCUUUAUCCCAACAAUUUCUUGUCAAAACCUAUUUCUCGGGAUUAGGUGAAUUGGUUGAAAUGCAGUUACCUCAAAGACUAAAAUAGUUAAACGACUCCGGACUAUAAUAAGACUAUGCAUAUGUACUUAACACAAUAGCCACUAGUUCAAACAACUGCAACAAUUGUCUAAAAGAACAUGUAAAGAAGGAAAUGUUAAGUCUUACCCACUCAACAAGGCUCUCUUCGCACAUAGGUUGACUGUUGUCUACAGGUUGUCGUCCAGUGAUGAGUUCCAAAAGAACAACCCCAAAAGAAUAAACAUCAGAUCGGUCAGUCAACUUGCCUCUUGAAGCAUAUUCUGGAGCCAGAUAGCUAAGUUGAAAAGAUAAACAUAAUUGUUAAGGUUAAGUGAUAAGCCAUAUCAGACAAGAAAUAGUCAAUUCAUUGAUUCAACUACCCAAAAGUUCCUACUAGUGUGGUUACAUGUGUUUUAGCAUCCAUAGCUAACCUUGCAAGCCCGAAAUCAGAAACCUAUGCCAUGUAUACAUGCACAUUAGCUAUAAAGGCAAAAGAAAAUGUAAACUGGUACCUUCAGAGGAUAACCUGUGCUUCAAAAUUGUUAUCCAAUAGUUAUUGAAGGGCGGCUGUGAUGGCUAAGGAAAGGAAGAGCGCAGGUGUUCGAUGAAGCAGCAGUGGCAAUUGAUACCGCCACAGUGAUGGCAGCGCCGCGGCCACGGUGGAGUGUCAAGGCCAUGUUUGCAGCCGUGGCGGUGUGGUUAAACUGCCUAGUGAAGGCGGCGGAUAUGGAAGCAGGCAGAGGCAGGCACAGUGGAGCAGAGAUUGGAGAUCAGUGCUGCACGAGGCCAUGCAUUUUGCCUUAUAUUUGUAGGUGUUUUCUAAAGUAAUCUUGAAGAGGAUUAGUACUGCUUCAACAAUGAAAGACAUAAAAUGGAUCAAAUCAAAUUCAAAUGAUUGUAUUGUAUUGUAUUGUAUUCCAGUCUCAUGAACUAACCACCAUCUACAUAACCAUUGUAAUUGAACAAUAAGUCUACCUUGGUUGGAUUUGCAAUCAGAACUUUAUUUUCAAAGAAAA